CCUCCCGUCCUCCUUCUCUCUAGUAGUGAGCUCUAGUAGGGUGUUCAUCUUCUCAAACAUUUGACAUAACCUCUGGCGUCUAAAUUGGUGAGAUAUGACUAUGGUAACAGGGUUGAAUGAUCUUUGUUGGAAGAUGGAUUUUUGUUCUACGGAUCAGUGGAGUGAACGGUUUCUGUUAAGUAUAUCUUUUUUUGAAGACGAAGGAGAGAGUGUUUUUUUUUAAUCAAUUGCUUCAGGCCCUCAUGAGAUA